UCUUGGUCAUUUAGAGGAAGUAAAAGUCGUAACAAGGUUUCCGUAGGUGAACCUGCGGAAGGAUCAUUACCAUACAACAGAGGCACAAGGGCUGUCGCUGAUCUUUCAAAGGUUGUGCACGCCUAAGUGUUUCUCUACAUAUCCAUCUCACCCCUUGUGCAUCACCGCGUGGGUCCUCCUUAUGGGGGGCUUGCGUUUUCACAUAAACUUUUAAUGUCAUGUAGAAUGUUCUUCUUUUUGCAAUAAUAUGCAAUUAAUACAACUUUCAACAACGGAUCUCUUGGCUCUUGCAUCGAUGAAGAACGCAGCGAAAUGCGAUACGUAAUGUGAAUUGCAGAAUUCAGUGAAUCAUCGAAUCUUUGAACGCAUCUUGCGCCCCUUGGCAUUCUGAGGGGCACACCCGUUUGAGUGUCGUGAAAUAUUCAAAAUCCUUUUCUUUUGAACAUGGAUUUUGGACUUGGAGGAUAUUCAAUGCUUGCUCUCACUUUUGAGUGUAAGCUCCUCUUAAAGGAAUUAGUGGGGUGUAUGCUUUGCUCAAGCCCUUGACGUGAUAAGAUGUUUCUACGUUUUGGAUUUGGCACUGUCUACCUGCUUCUUAACUGUCUUAUGGACAAAUGAUGGUGCUCUGGUCUCCGCCAAUUGUGGAGGCUAGACCCACAAAAUAAAACCCUUGACCUCAAAUCGGGUGAGACUACCUGCUGAACUUAAGCAUAUCAAUAAGCGGAGGA
rnacentral:rRNA from 1 species